AUUGAACGCUGGCGGCAUGCCUUACACAUGCAAGUCGAACGGCAGCACGGGAGCAAUCCUGGUGGCGAGUGGCGAACGGGUGAGUAAUAUAUCGGAACGUGCCCAGUCGUGGGGGAUAACGCAGCGAAAGCUGUGUUAAUACCGCAUACGAUCUACGGAUGAAAGCGGGGGAUCGCAAGACCUCGCGCGAUUGGAGCGGCCGAUAUCAGAUUAGCUAGUUGGUGGGGUAAAGGCUCACCAAGGCGACGAUCUGUAGCUGGUCUGAGAGGACGACUAGACACAGUGAAACUGGAACACAGUCCAGGCGCCUACGUGAGGCAGCAGUGGGGAAUUUUGGACAAUGGGCGCAAGCCUGAUCCAGCAAUGCCGCGUGCAGGAUGAAGGCCUUCGGGUUGUAAACUGCUUUUUGUACGGAGCGAAACGGUCUUUCCUAAUACGAGAGGCUAAUGACGGUACCGUAAGAAUAAGCACCGGCUAACUACGUGCCAGCCGCCGCGGUAA
rnacentral:rRNA from 1 species